CGGCGGACGGGUGAGUAACGCGUGGGUAACCUGCCUCAUACAGGGGGAUAACAGUUGGAAACGGCUGCUAAUACCGCAUAAGCGCACAGUACCGCAUGGCACCGUGUGAAAAACUCCGGUGGUAUGAGAUGGACCCGCGUCUGAUUAGCUAGUUGGUGGGGUAACGGCCUACCAAGGCGACGAUCAGUAGCCGACCUGAGAGGGUGACCGGCCACAUUGGGACUGAGACACGGCCCAA
rnacentral:rRNA from 1 species